CCUCACAGUUUGCUAAAGGAAUGAUAGGACUAUUGUGUCUAUGUCCGCAAGAAGUGGCCCACUUGCACAAAGAAUUGCUUUUAGCUGCCUGUAAUAUUUUAGCCUCAGAGCCAAGAGAAUACAAAAUGUUCCGUGUGUGAUGGUUGCAUCUUUCGAAGGUUUUCUUUAUAUCUAUGAACUGAACGUUGAAAUGCGAGGAGAU